AAGUCGUAACAAGGUUUCCGUAGGUGAACCUGCGGAAGGAUCAUUACAGGACUAAGAGCACGUUGAUAGCCCUAGUGGUUGUCGACGUUGCUUUUCAGUACCCUAACCCUUGAGUAUUAUACUUUGUUGCUUUGGCAGGCCGAUCAAGUGAGCCCGAUCUCCUUGACUCACCAUGGAGUGGCUGAAGUGCUUGCCAGAGACCUCAAACUCUGAAUUUUAUGUCGUCUGAGUAUUAUUUAAUAGUUAAAACUUUCAACAACGGAUCUCUUGGUUCUG
rnacentral:misc_RNA from 1 species